rnacentral:rRNA from 1 species
GGACGAACGCUGGCGGCGUGCCUAACACAUGCAAGUCGAGCGAUGAAGUUUCUUCGGGAACGGAUUAGCGGCGGACGGGUGAGUAACACGUGGGCAACCUGCCUUAUAGAGGGGAAUAGCCUUCCGAAAGGAAGAUUAAUACCGCAUAAGAUUGUAGCUUCGCAUGAAGUAGCAAUUAAAGGAGUAAUCCGCUAUAAGAUGGGCCCGCGGCGCAUUAGCUAGUUGGUGAGGUAACGGCUCACCAAGGCGACGAUGCGUAGCCGACCUGAGAGGGUGAUCGGCCACAUUGGGACUGAGACACGGCCCAGACUCCUACGGGAGGCAGCAGUGGGGAAUAUUGCACAAUGGGGGAAACCCUGAUGCAGCAACGCCGCGUGAGUGAUGACGGCCUUCGGGUUGUAAAGCUCUGUCUUUGGGGACGAUAAUGACGGUACCUGAGGAGGAAGCCACGGCUA